UUAGUGCUUUGUUCUAAUGUUUUGUAUCACUUUAUUUUAGUAAAAAUUGAGUAAGCAAAAAAUAUACUGGGUUCUGACUAUCUUUGGCUUUUUAGAGGCAUUCAUUGCCAUGAAUAAAUUAUAAAAGUUAUAUAGUUCUCUAAUAUGUUUAUAUUUUAUAAUAUGAAUAUUUAGUUCUCUAAUAUGUUUAUAUUUUAUAAUAUGAAUAUUUCUGUACAUUAUUUCCUAAAAUGUAUUUUUUUCUUUUGUAUCUGUUGUCUUUAGCUAUUAAUUUUUGAUAGUUUUUCUACCCAUCCUCCUCUUCCCCUACUUUAAGAGGCAGAUAUCUGUGCAAAUUCCUAGCCAUGCUACACUAAUACUACAGCUUCCUGAUGACACUUUUACAUUAUCCUCAACUUUUGCCUCUCUUAUUGACCCUCUGUAUCAUCGAUGCUCUAUGGAAGACUGUUCCUUAUGUACUUAAUGCUCAGAAAAUUCUCUUGACACAGACAGGAUGGCCUCUGUCUUCUACACAGUAGUCAUUCCCAUGUUAAACCCAUUGAUCUGGAGCCCCAGGAACAAGGAUGUGACAUUGCCCUGAGGAAAGUCAUGGUCAAUAGAAAACAGGCAUUAUUUUGC
rnacentral:lncRNA from 1 species